AGAUGUGUGUUGUGGUUGUACUUCAUCAAUGGAUACAUCUGGUUGAGGAAUAUCUUGUGUUUUCAUUUGUAGGUCUUGAACUUCUUCAAGUUCAAUUCUCCUAUCCUUUCCCUUUUCUAAGAUAAACUCUUGCUCUAAGAAAGUGGCAUGUCUACCUACAAAGACCUUUUGUUCGGUAGGAUGAUAGAAGAUGUAUCCUAUACUAUCUUUA
rnacentral:lncRNA from 1 species